ensembl:lncRNA
UCUUUAUACCAAAGUUCAUCAGUAAUGCUCUGGCAAUAUUUAAAAUGCUGCUUGUUUUCUUUGUUAUCAAAGUUUUUGUAUCUUGACUAGUUGUAUAUUCUGUAAAAAAAACUUUUGUUUCUUGAUAUGUAGCUAUCAUUAAAACGAUCACAAAUGUGAUCAUUCUGGCCAUAUGUGGUUUAAACUGUACUUUGUGGAAAUAGGCUUUGAAGAAGUAAGAAAAAAAAAGGUCAAUAGUCAAGCCAUCUGCAAUGAGUCCAUGCCAACGUUAAAAGGGUGGGUAGAACAGAACUGGGUGUAAGUGAGUCAAUUCCUAGACCUCACCAAAGGCAUCAUCAUGACAGUGCUGCUCACCACCCUCCACCAGUCAACUAAUUAUUAAAUACGAUGUCCAGGGUGGCAUCUCACUAACAAUUGUGAGAUGUGUGUUUGGUAUGUUUCAUCCAGAUAAAUGCUGAUAUGCAGAAGCAAGCACUUUGGAAUGUGACACACCGUAUAGGCUGCACUGCAGAGAGUAAGUUAAUAAAUAUCUGAGUGUGUCUGGAUUUUUUUGACAUUUCUUGACUUCUCUGCCACUACAAAGUGAGUUAACUAUCACAUGAUGCUAGCAAUUUGAGGUUGAUUUAGGCCCAUUGUUGUUGAAUCAGACUGUCCCUGUCAGUUUAGCAAAUAAAUAUAUGUAUCACAGGGAAGAGAGUAAUGGCAAUAUGGUCUGAUUAAACUAUUUACUUUAUAACAAUGUUUUUUUGUUGAAUGAAUGUGCCUUACCUUUCCACUUCUGCUGGGUUGAAGUGAUAUAUAUAUAUAUAUAUAUAUUAGUCAGAGGGUGGCACUGUGGAGGCAGGGCAUAAUACACACUAGGAUUAUAAGCAAUUUGUGUCCAAAAUUGUAUGAAUUUUAACAGCAUCUGUGUAGCCCGUAUUUAGUUCCCUAUUAUCCAUUACAGGAUUCAACCUCCACCCAAAUAAUUAUGCCAUGCAAUAAGUGUAGGCCUUGUCUGUAUUGAGAGCAAGAAUGCAAAAUGUAUUUAUAUUUUUUGCUAAAACUUACGGAUGUAUAAAGGGGUUAUACGUAGUUUGUAUAAACUAAGUUAUUAGUUUAUAACACUGAUUUAUUUGUGCAGUUUUUUGUCUGAUUGCUUUGCUGACAUAUGCCAUCUUAUGUGUUGGCAAAACAUUUAUACAGUUAUACACUACUUUACCGUUGCGUUAUCUAGCCUGCUAUAAUACAGGACUGCUAAAGUGACCCACUAUAAUGUGUAUGCAAUAAUUUGUAGUGUUCAUUCUGCUACUAAUCACCGAGGGAUGGAGCCCGUGUAAAAGGUUGUUGAUUUGAGCAAAGCGCAAUGACAUCUGCAUAAAUGGGCGUUCCGGGAUUCGCGCAUUUUGCUUGGCGCUGCCACUGUGCCAGGUGUGUUUAACCUGUGGCCAGGGAUGCAGUCGCGCUUGUCAUCAUCAAAAUGUGUGGGAUGCGACCUACGACCUAGAACGAGAAUAAAUUACCAUUAAGUGAAUGCUGUGAUAACGACACCAGCAGUUUUCUGUCACAGGUAUAAAGACACUCGUUGACGCACUAAAUAUACGGCUUCCGAUGUCCCAAAUCUCCGAGAAGAUUUGUCUCUCACGCAGUCUAUGGUGAGGUGAGUGGAUACCUUGUUUUGACAACUUCCAUCCAAAGGUUUAGGAGAAUAAGAAGAACCAACCUAUGAUAAGGUGAUG